UUGCUUCAGCAGCACAUAUACUAAAAUUGGAACGAUACUGAGAAGAUUAGCAUGGCCCUGCACAACAACGGCGUGCAAAUUCGUCAAGCGUUCCGUAUUUUU